rnacentral:rRNA from 1 species
AAGCCAUGCAAGUCGAGCGUUCUCUAGCUGUUGAGAGCGCGGCGCACGGCUCAGUAGUACGCAGCUAACCUACCCUAAGGAGGGGGAUAAUCCCGGGAAACUGGGGCUAAUAACCCAUGUACCUCAGAGGCUGGAAUGCACUGAGGUUAAAAUGGCUAUUUCAGCAUGCUGGAAUGGUUGCCUUAGGAUGGGGCUGCGUCCGAUCAGGUAGUUGGCGGGGUAAAGGCCCACCAAGCCUAUGACCGGUGCGGGCUCUGAGAGGAGGAGCCCGGAGAUGGAUCCUGAGACAAGGGUCCAGGCCCUACGGGGCGCAGCAGGCGCGAAACCUUCACAAUGCCCGAAAGGGUGAUGAGGCUACCCCGAGUGCUAUCCGCAGAGGAUAGCUUUUGUUAGGUCUAAAAAGCCUAGCGAAUAAGGGGAGGGUAAGACUGGUGUCAGCCGCCGCGGUAAUACCAGCUCCCCGACUGGUCGGGAUGAUUAUUGGGCCUAAAGCGUCCGUAGCCGGUUCUUUAUGUGGUUCGUUAAAUCUAGCGGCUCAACCGCUGGGCUGCGAAUCAUACUAAAGGGCUAGGGGGCGGGAGAGGCCAAGGGUACUCCGCGGGUAGGGGUAAAAUCCGCUGAUCCGUGGAAGACCAACAGUGGCGAAGGCGUUUGGCCAGAACGCGCCCGACGGUGAGGGA